rnacentral:rRNA from 1 species
GGUGCGUAACACGUAUGCAACUUACCUAUAACUGGGAAAUAGCCCGGAGAAAUCCGGAUUAAUAUCCCAUAACAAUGCGACCUGGCAUCAGGAUGCAUUUAAAGCUCCGGCGGUUAUAGAUAGGCAUGCGUCCCAUUAGUUUGUUGGUGAGGUAACGGCUCACCAAGGCUACGAUGGGUAGGGGGCCUGAGAGGGUUAUCCCCCACACUGGUACUGAGACACGGACCAGACUCCUACGGGAGGCAGCAGUGAGGAAUAUUGGUCAAUGGUCGCAAGACUGAACCAGCCAUGCCGCGUGCAGGAUGACGGCCCUAUGGGUUGUAAACUGCUUUUAUACAAGAAUAAACCCCUUUACGUGUAGAGGGCUGAAGGUACUGUAUGAAUAAGCACCGGCUAACCCCGUGCCAGCAGCCGCGGUAAUACGGAGGGUGCAAGCGUUAUCCGGAAUCAUUGGGUUUAAAGGGUGCGCAGGCGGGACCUUAAGUCAGUGGUGAAAUCUCUUCGCUUAACGAAGAAACUGCCAUGAUACUGAGGUUCUUGAAUUUAGUUGGCGUGGGCGGAAUGUGCCAUGUAGCGGUGAAAUGCUUAGAUAUGGCACAGAACACCGAUCGCGAAGGCAGCUCACGAAACUAAUAUUGACGCUCAGGCACGAAAGCAUGGGGAGCAAACAGGAUUAGAUACCCUGGUAGUCCAUGCUGUAAACGUUGAUCACUCGACAUUGGCGAUAUACUGUCAGUGUCCUAGCGCAAGUGAUAAGUGAUCCACCUGGGAGUACGCCCGCAAGGGU